UGUAUUAACAUCUUUUUUUUUUCUUUUUUUUUCUUUUUUUUUUUUUUCUGUAAUUUCAUAGGAAAAUUAAAGUAUAUGAUUUUAAUACAGCUGAAGUGAACUGGCCCAGUUAUUGCCAUCAGAUUUUGUAAAACCAGACUUAGUAUUACCAUCUUGUUUGCUUUGUAAGUAUCAGGGAAUUUGGAACUAUAUUAUUUUCUAUAAAGUCUGGGAUUAACAUGUUAGUUUGUAAUCCAGUAAUUAUCAGUCUACACUUCAAUAUUUGUUUUAUAAACUAAGUGUGAUUGUUGUGCUAUUUGCAUUUUCUUUUUCUAUUCUAAAACAACCUUGGCCAUUCAAAGCAGUAAUUAAAAAAAGAAAAAAAGAAAAAAAGAAAGAAAGAAAAUACUGUACAAGCAACUUUUCUGUGAAGAUAUACUCUAAUAUCCCAUAUAAUACAUAUUUUGGGUUUCAAGGUGGCCAGAGUCAUCAUUUACUGACGGCUCCUGUCACUGCUUCUAGAAUAUGGGUAAGGCAGCAUGCAGUUUUCUAAUGUAGAAGUAAAAACAUUAUCAGUAUUUCUGCACAGAACAGAGUUACUCCUUUCUACUCCCUUGCAAACAAGCAAUUGUCACAAAGCCCAGCAGGUACUUACCACUGCAGGUACUUACCUGCAGUGCUAGUCUCAGUGGAGAAACCAAGACCAAGGCCUGAAUGAACUCAGGUCUUCAUCUGUGUCUGAAAUUUCCAAAGCUGUGGUGAAGUUCACUGGCACUGGGAAGCUCUCACAUCUGCGAACCAUGGCUGUUCAGUAGGCCAACAAGGCAUUUUAUUUUCCAGUGGUGCAAAUCCAACACUAAAAUAUGCAAAAUUCCUGACCACAGCUAUAGCUUAAUGUAGCCCAAACUCUUUAAACUUGUAAUAUAAACAUUUUCCCCAACCAUAUUUUUCUGCUCUUUCAUAAGGGCUAUUCUUGCUUAAAUUUAAUUUAAAUUAAAGACAGAACCAUAGGCAGUAAUACAGACAAGCUUGUGGCCUGAAAGGGAAAGGAGAGACAAGAGUAUCACUAGGAACACACAAACUCCACAGUAUGUUACUGCAGCUUGAAUGCUGACAUUUCUAUCAAAGCCUCUCUCUCUAAGCUAUCAUACUUUUCAAUAAUGUAUUACGAAUGAAGUAAACAGCAGCAGAUGGGGAAAAACAAGAGUGGCUGUCAUCAGCAUUUUUUCCUUUGUGAACAAUUUCUCACUAUAGAAAGGAAGCAGGAUCUCUCUUUAUUUUUCCUUUGCUUUCUUGGUCUCUCAAGUGUGAUCAGUUGGCUGAUUUUGGUGCAAGGAAUGUAAGAGAGGGAUAAAACUGUAGCAGCAUCAGAAUUACUUUAGAUUUAUUAGAUUUAUUACUUUUAGAUUUUAUUAAACAAUCUUAAACCAUAAGUAAACAACUUUAAUGAUAAUUAAAGUAAUUAUAGACAGAUCCAGAUUGUUUUCUAGACUGAACUCAUCCAAUCAGUAUAACAUAGUUAAAUGCAAAAUCAUGCAUAGGGGAAUAAAGAAUAUGAUUUCUACUUUCAAAACUGGGGGCUAUAAAAGACCUAAAAGCAGUUUUAGAAUCUGGCUGAAUAUGAAUUCUUGGUAUGAUUUAGUGAGUCAGAUUCAUCUUAAACUACAAGUGUGCAUGCAUAAAACCUUGUAAUGGAAAAAAAAAAAAUAGGAGGAGGAGCAUGAUCUAUUCUGCAUAUAGAAGUGAAACAAAGGUGUCAGGAUGAGCCGUUCAGCAGCCAAAUACCCACACAGAGACACUCUUGAAUGUUCUUUUUGAGAAGCAAAACAUAAAAAGGCACAGAAUGGAGCAGAUACAAGGUGGGACUUCUUCAUACAUUGUCUACAGUCUCAGAAGUCUAGAAGUAGUCAACUACAGACAAGGGAUUCCAUGAACCUGUAUUACUGUACUUGUGGAAUGAUGUCAAUAAAGAACAAAUGUUGAAUCAAAUGCAUGGCAAGGCAAUUCAGGACUGGAUCUAUCUGAAGAGCCAAGGAAAGUAAAGAAACUGUGUAAGACCAGGCUGUAUGCAAGUAUUAUGUCAUUUCCAUCAAGAGAUAUUUCACCUCUCGGCCAAUUUUUUGGGGAAAAAUGUCCAACACUAAGAACAUUUUUAAAUAAACUUAUACUAAGAAAUAAGAGUGCAUUUAAAUAUUCUUUUGUGACCCUACAUGUAUUUUUUCCCAUCACCUAGAUUAGAACAGUGAAUAGAUAUGUCAUAGUGUUAAAGAAUCUGUCUACAUAAUUCAUUAGCUCAUUCUUUAGUUCUCGGAAAUGGAGUUGUGACUACCCUGCAUAAGAGAAGUGGUAUAGUUCUCUGAAUAAAAUCUUCAUACUGGAAUCUUCAGCAAUUAAUCUAAACAAUAUAUCUAUCAAGAAGAAAUCGUGUUUACUUGGAAAUGUGGCCCAUUUUAUUUUAACUGAAAAGCAUUCAUUAUACAGUGCAAACAGUUCUUUGGUAAAUUUACUGAUUAAAAUAAAAACAACAAAGACUUUGCUUUAGGUAACAUUAAAAAAAGAAAAUAAAUAUGUAAAAUUUGCAACAUAUUACAGCAAUAUUCUCACAGUGGAUACUGAGGAAAUGGUCAUCUAGCCAUUGGCCACUGUUUCAAAAAUGUUAAAAUUAAUGCUGAUUCUGCAGACAUGACAAUAAAACAAGCACAAUCCAUUACUGAUUACACUUUAAACUGUGCAUAAAGACUUGUUUUUCCUGAAUGGUUUAUAAUCAGAUGGAAAUCAGCGGAAAAUAACUCAAAAUUACACUUAUGUAAGCAUAUCCAGACUCCUAAGCCCAUUUUAUAUACCAUACGAAUAAACAGUGAACAUCGAAGAAAACCUCCCUCUUUAUUCUGGAGGCUGAAGAAAAUGAACAAUCGGAUAUAUGUUACUAUUUUAUAAUGUAUAAAUGGAAACUCUUUUCUCCAAUAAGUGGAAAUUUUGAGAAAGUUUAUUUAAUAUAAAAUUGGAAUAAAAGAAUGUAAGUAGUAACCAGCUGGAUGUAUUACUGAUUUAUAUAUCUGUUUAGACAGUUAAAUUAUAUUUGGUUCAGCUCCGCAAUCCUUCCUCUUUGAGGAAUUCCUGCUAUAGGUCAAUGGGAGUUCCAUCUGAGUUGGACUUACAGGACGAGACAUGUGGUUUGGACUCUCAGCAAAAGUCAACAAAAUACCAGAGUAUCAAAGAAAUACAGGAAUGACAGCCUCUAGAAACCAUAUGAUACUCAAACAUGCUCGCCACACACAAUUUCUGAAAGUAUUAAAAUAGAAAAUUACAUGUCAAAACACUGUAUAUAAAAUCAAUUAAAAUAUUCU